GUGUUCCUGCUCGCCACGGAGACUGCUGAGUCUGCGCCCUGCCCCAGGCCGAGAGCUGCCUGAUGGGGUCAGACUGCAGGUGGCUGAACUGAAGGUCUCUGCGUGACGGUGGGAGUGCUGCCCUUGCGGUUCCCUGUGGUUAUAUCUGCGUGGUCUCUAGGUUAUAGAAGGUAAUUUUGUCUAAGUAGAUGGUAAACAUUAAUAAAAUCCAGUUCUUCAAGCUGACUGUGUUUAAUGCCUGCUAGUAUGCAUGAACAAAGCAAAAAGAUUUUAACUCCCUGGAAGUGUGCACGUAGACAGGUAGGCGCAUAAAACCUUCUGUGCUGACACCUGUGCCCAGGGCAGUCAUGCUGGGGGCGCAUGGUGUUCUCUGGGUGUGGUGCUUCGGGGAUCUGUAGGAGAAAUUCAGUCUUUGACAGUCGCUAAAGCAAUCCUGAAAGAAUCUGAACAUCUUCUUGGUGUGCCAAGCGCUGGUCUCCACUAGAGGGUGCGAAGGUCUGCAGAAUGGUGGCAUUUCCCUGAAACUGGGAGACUUCCUUUAAUCGGAUGCGCGAGCAGCAAGGCUGUGGCAGGAUUAUGUUCCAGUUGAAGAACUCUGCUCUUUGUGUUGGCAGCAGCCCAGGUUACAUCUGCUUUAUAUAACCCAUCAGCUGCGCUCACCGUGAAGCCCAUGUGAUGCUCAGCCCUGGCCGUCGUGCAUCCUCUUGUGCUCUUAGGCAAUGCACGCGUGCGCCCCGGGGGAGGCAGCUCUGCUCUGCGUUGGGGGAAUUUCCACUGAAUCUGCAAUAUUCCCAGUCCGAACCAAGCCUGAGGCUGGUGUGUUGUGAAACCACGCUGGCUGCUGAGCCGACAGGUGGUGCCUCUUCCCUGGGCUGCAGCAGCCACGCUGCUCCUUGGCCAAGUACAGAAUUUCUUCCUUGCUAAAUUUUGCCUCUGAGUGUCAUGUUCAGGACAAAUUCCUGAGCAGAACCAAACCUGGCCCUGUUCCUGAGCGAUGCUGCCUUUGCUAGAGCAGUGAGAACUUGAAAGGAGGUAUCGGGAGGAGCGAUGGCCAUUUCGGAAUACUUGAUUGCUGCAGCUUGAAUGUGUGCUCCUCUCUGCUGGUACUGGAUGGGGUCAGUGGACAUUUAAAGCCCACUUUUUGCAUCUGAGAGGGGAGCGGUUCCUUUGCCUACCACUGCCAGCUCUGUGUUGGGGUGGAGGCUUGCUGGGGAGCAAUGGGGACGUGGUGGAAACGCGUUGGUGCUCACGGGGCUGAAAGGAAUGCGCCUGCAGAUGGCGAGGAAGUGAGGCAGCGCCUGGAGGAAGGGCAGUCCUGCAGUGCCUUUUCUGCUUUUGCUUUGUUUUAAAGGAAACUUUUUACAUCUAUUUGACCUUGUGGCUUCUGCAAAAAUAAUGUUAAUGCGCUCUCUGGAGAUUUGAACUCAGAGUAGGUCAGCGAGAAGUUGGUCACUGUGUUCCUUUUUAAGUGCUUUUUCCCGGCUUCUGCUUGGAGACGCUGUGUCACAGUCAUGUGCACAUGACUGCCACGUGUGGCUCCCAGCUCGCCCAGGUUUUUGUGAAAGCAGAGCUGAAGCUCGUUGGUUACACUGGCAGUGCUGCUCUGGUGAAAUCCUCCUGGGGCUGACUAACAGGCAGGGCACAGCUUUCAUGGGCUCGGUUUGCUGAGGUCUCUGCUGCUGACAAGGAAAGUGGAUUAGAGAUUGCAAGCAGCCUUCGUUUGAGGAAAGCACAACUGGCUUGGGGGGAGUGAGUCAGUUGUGCUUUUGGGGCUCUGGAAAGUGUUCAUCAUGCUGAAGUAUCUUCCUUAUUCAUCGGCUGAAGUGACUCCAACUGAGUUGUGAAGGUGGCUUACGUCUGUCGGGAGCAGUGAGUGUUGCAUCCCUGCGUUCCCUGUCCGGAGCCUCUUGUGCCCUGGGAACAC
ensembl:lncRNA